GGCCAAAUUACUGUGUAAAACAAAAAGUUGUAGAUUUGUUUUUGCUGCACUGCCCAAAGACCGAGUAGAAUUAUUUGACUGUUAGUUGCUUUCCCUUCCUUUCAUAAACACGUUAUAUUUUUAUUUCAUUGCUUGUGUUAUUCAUAUUUAUCAUUUGCGUGUACACAACUAGAUGCUAAAAGUUUCAUAGCUCAGUUAGGGACAAGCUUUUUCAGGAUACUUUUUAUUAUCUUCUUGUGUUCAAUUCUGCAUGUUUACACUAUUCAAAUUAUAUAAUUUAUACAAUCUAGUAUUUUAUUAAUUUGCUUUUUAAUAGUGCAUUUAAUAACCUGUAAAUAACUAAUGUAAAGUGUAACAUUCUACUGUUCAAGUCUACACGUUUACAUAUGUCAAAAACACAGAAGUAUUCAUAGACAUAUGUGUGCAUAUAUGAAUAAGCAUAUGUAUGUAGAUAUGUGUGCGUGCAUAUAAAGAGUUCUGUGAAUAAGUAUUUGCCCCCUUCCUGAUUUUGUUUCAGUUUCAUUGACCACACUGCUAGACCUGCUGAAUCAAGAAAUCGCUUAAACAGAAUCUGUCUGACACAGUGAAUUAAACUAAAAGAUGUCUGCAUGCAACAAGUCAUGACAUCAUAUAAAGAAACUCAGAAAGAACAGAGGAAUAAAGUCAGUGACAUUUAUCAGUCUGGAAAGGGUUACAAAGCCAUACAAAGGCUUUGGACCCCAUAAAACCAUGAUGAGAGUCGUUAUCCACAAAUGGAGAAAACUUGGGACAGUAGUGAAGCUCCACGUGCGUAUGCUGGUCACUUCCCAGGAGUUACCAGUAUACCAAAAUUACUCCAAGAGUAAUUUAAGACUCAUCCAGGAGCUCACAGAGCCAGAACAACAUCUAAUAAACUUCAGGCCACACUGAGAAGGAGACUGAGCAAAAAAUAGUUUCACAUUUGCCAAAAAAAAACCCUCCAAAACAUCUUGAUGAUCCCCAUGACUUUUGGGAAAAUAUUUUGUAGAUUGAUGAGACAAAGGUUGAACUUUUGUCUCAUCAUGGCCUUCCAAUUGGGGUCUGGGAUGCGGGGCGUCCCUGCUACUGCGAGGCCGGGGGCAGUCUGCUUGUCUUCAGCCCAGGGAAAAGGGUGGCAUCUCCUGGGUCUGGUUUCUCCUCAGGUCCAGGUGGUGCCUGGACCUGGGAGUUAGAGUAUGUCCGCGGGCACAUCACUGCAGCCCCCUCUGGCUUCUGCUCCGUGGCUGCUGGGUGACCCGUCGUCUGGGGCCCUCCUCAGCUCCGCCCAGGAGGGUGGCCCAGUUGCCCCUCCGAUGGUCCUUCUUGGGCUCUCACACUCUGGGGCCUCUGGAUGUCUGGGGCCUGGAUCUCCUCCAUGCCUGUGCCCUGGGGAACGGGGCUAUGGCUCCCCACAUUCUCUAGCAGAUUGUUACAUGGAGAAACCUUUUGAAUACAAGCGUGCUCAUGCUCACAGGUGUACACACGGGUGUUCACAGACACAAACUACACCUUUCUUGGCUGCAAAGGACAUUGUGCGCUAUCGAUCUUGCGUGCUGCGCAAUAACAUUCAAUAUUUAGUAUCUACUGUUAUUUACUGUUAGCUAGAUUAUUGCGAUUGUGUUGUGUUUAUUAUGUUGCUCUCUUUUUUGCUUCUUUUCUCUUCUGUUUUUUCUUCUCUCAACGGGUGAUCCAGGUGAUUUUUUAAGUGCCUUUUCUUACUGUCCCUCUUCCCCUCUGUUUUUCUUUCUUACUUUCUUUCUUUCUUUCUUUCUUUCUUUCUUUCUUUCUUUCUAUCUCCCUUUCCUAUCCCCCAGUCAUGUCUGUCCGAUCUGUAACAAUUGAAAAUAAAAUAAAAUAAAUAAAUAACAAUAAUAAAGGUCAAUCAAAUGGACCAAUACGGCAAGGCCAUGAUGAUCCACUUGGUAAAGUAAAUCCGUUGGGCAUCUUUCUUGGCCUUCAGACAAUAAUUCUGAUGGCUAAAGAACCAAAUGGGAUAGGCAACAAAAAAAAAGUUGCAUUUUUUGGAAGGCUUGAGUCCUGUUACGUCUGGUAACUAACACAGCAUUUCAUGAACAGAGCAUCAUGGCAAUAGUCAAAUAUAGUAGUAGUGGUAGGCUGCUUUUCUGCUUCAGGACCUGAAUGACUUGCUGUAAUUGAUGGAACCAUGAACUCUGCCUACUAGAAACUGCUGAAGGAAAAUGUCCUGGGUUUGGGUUUUGAAGGAUAAUGAGCCAAAACACACAGAGUCCACCUCUAAAUAGCUCAAAAAACAAAAUGUAGGUUUUGGAGUGAUCUAGUCAAAUUUAGGGGUUAUAUCUGACUGAGAUGCUCUGGCAUGACCUUAAACUGAACAUUCAUUCUGGAAAAUCCUCUAGUGUGAAGAAAAAAAAUCAGUGAUUUGAGCACAUUACGUUUAGGGUCGAUUGCUUUUUUUCCACAUGUUCAACUGUAAUUUCGUCAUGCUUGCAUAAUGACAAUAUAGAGUAUUUAAUCUUGACUCCCAAUACUAUUCCGGGACCACGAGGGGGCGCCGUGUCCUAUUUAUUUAAUUUGUCCUAUCAACAAUCAUCCCAUUGCCUACAACCAUUAAAAAACGUAUAUAUGGAUCAUGACAAUAUAUUUCUGUUUUGUAAUUUAAAAAAAAAAAAACUAUGGCGAGACAUUGCUUCUGUACAAUAUUAAACUAUUAAAAAUACACACGCAUAUAUUGAAU
ensembl:lncRNA